UGGGGAAUAUUGGACAAUGGGCGCAAGCCUGAUCCAGCCAUGCCGCGUGAGUGACGAAGGCCUUAGGGUUGUAAAGCUCUUUUGGCGGGGAAGAUAAUGACGGUACCCGCAGAAUAAGCUCCGGCUAACUUCGUGCCAGCAGCCGCGGUAAUACGAAGGGAGCUAGCGUUGUUCGGAAUCACUGGGCGUAAAGCGCACGUAGGUGGGCAGUUAAGUCAGGGGUGAAAGCCCGAGGCUCAACCUCGGAAUUGCCUCUGAUACUGGCUGUCUAGAGUUCGAGAGAGGUGAGUGGAAUUCCUAGUGUAGAGGUGAAAUUCGUAGAUAUUAGGAAGAACACCGGUGGCGAAGGCGGCUCACUGGCUCGAUACUGACACUGAGGUGCGAAAGCGUGGGGAGCAAACAGGAUUAGAUACCCAGGUAGUCCCUGAGCGGGCUGGCAAGGCGCAU
rnacentral:rRNA from 1 species